GUCCUUUGGCCGAGUGGUUAAGGCAUGCGUUGAUUCCCUGCAUGCGAGAGUUCGAAUCUCUCAAGCCACA
rnacentral:tRNA from 1 species